CAGGAACCCCUACAGGCUCCAGAGGCCCUGAGCGCGCCCCCUACGAGGCUUGUUCUCUGGCGUUUCUGAUUGGCCAGCUCCCUUCGCGCAGACUAGCGUCCUUUCGGCUGCUGGGUAGCUCCUCUUCCCUCGCUGGGCGAGGCUCUAAAGCCCAUGUGCAGCACAUUGAGGAUCUUCCGAUCGGUCUUCGCUGAUGCUUUUCUCAUGUCCCUCUAAGGGCGAGAUCACUGGGAAAGGAGCUGAUGCUGGUGGAAUCUUCAGGUGAUGAAGAUGGAGACUCCAGGUCUGAGUCGGCUGGAAAUAAAAAGAGACUCCCUGCAUUAGAGACCAUCCACAGGGCAUCCUUGGAAGCUGUGACCUGAAGGUGGACAAGCCACAGGAUGGAAGGAGCUGCAUCUCUAAGUCACCAGUGAAGAACAGUCACCCUCAAUGGAGAAAACCAAAGCCAUCAGGAGGAACUCCACCAACAUGGAAUCCAAUGUAUUGAUUGUUACGUCUUGCGGAAAUAUGGGAGACAGAUGCACAAAGAAGAGUGUACAUGAGGACACAGUGAGAAGGUGUCCAUCGGCAAGACAAGAGCUCUCAUCAGAAACCAAAUCUGUCAGCACUUUGAUUUGGGACUUCUAGCCUCUGGAACUGUGAAAAAAUAAAUCUCUGUUGUUUAAGCCACCCAAGCUAUGAUAUUUUGUUACGGCAGCCUAAGCAGAUACACAAUGCAACAGAAAAAUGGGCAAGAGAUGCAAAACAAACCACAAUGAGAUACCACUGCACAUCUGCCACUACAAUUAAGAAAGACUAAAAAACAAUUGGAAAGGACGUAGAACAACAGGAAUUCUCAUCUAGAUUUUACUAUUAGGUUUCUGAGGUUCAUCUCCAUCUGUUUAUUACUAUAGUCUUAAUUUUCAUUCCAUUGCAUGUAAGUUGCUACAACUACUUUCAGAAAGAGUUUAGCAUUUGAUCCAGUGAGUCUACUCCUAGGUGUACAAAAAGCAGAUAUGUGUUCGCAUAGCUACCCAAACACAUGCACAGGUAUGUUCAUGGCAUUGUUCGUAAUCGCUAAAAAAGAGAAACAAAUGUCCAUCAACAGUGGAAUAGAUACCUAAAUUGUGGUACAUUCAUAAAAAGGAAUAUUGUACAAUAAAAAUUAAUGAAUCAAUUAUACACAGAAACACAGGUGAAUCUGUCAAACCUCAUGUUUUGAGUGAAAAACACCAGGCAUAAAAGACUAUAUAUUGUUUGAUUCCCAUUUUAUAUAAGCUUCAAAACCAGGCAAACUAAAUUGUAGUGUUAGAAAUCAGGAUAGUGGUUACAUUUAGGGAAGAUGGAGGAGUUACUGAUUGGAAGCAAAUAUGAGGAGACUGGGAGAGUUGGCUGAGGUUCUGUUUCUUGACUUGUGUGAUGGUUGCAGUGGUGUUCACGUUGUGAUCAUUCGUUGAACUUUACAUUUCUGUUUUGUUAUGAUUUUUUUAUAUGUUAUGUUUCCCAAUUUUAAAAAAAGUUUAAAAUAUGUUGGUAUCUUCUACUAAGGAAAGUGUUUUCAAUGAGGAAGAGUUAAGCAUCCAGAGUAAAUUUUCAAAUCUCCAAUUUGCUUAUGGGUAGGUUUAUGGGUUGCUUAACUGCUACUCAUUUUUGUUUUUCGUUUAUCAAUAUUCAAAUACCGAAUAUAUAUUUAGUGCACAACUGAAGAUCAUGUAGCAUAAUAACAGCUUUAUAAGUAAAAGGAUGAAAUCAACCCACCAGAUUUUUUUGGAGUUGCUACCGCCAUUGACCUAAUCCUAAUUCCAAUGAAAAAAAAGUAGCCUUUCCCCCCAUUGUGGGACACGUGAUAGUGCAGACUUAUGGGUCACUUCUCACACACCUUUGGUCCUUAUUUUAGAGAAGCAGAACACUGCUGGGUUCCUUAGGGGCAAGGUCUAGACUUGCACACUUGAACCUUGCACUCUCUCUGAAGAGCCAACAAAUAAGUGAAGGAUCCUUUAAAAAACAGAAACAUACAGAAGUGUGGCAGAGAGUGGCUAUUUAAUCAAACCUAUUUUGUCUUGUUCCUAGGCAGCAGAAUGAGAAUACUUGAUCUGCCUCCUUUCUAUUUCCUUUGUAGUUAGGAGUUCCCAUGUGGAGAGGGAAGCACCAAGACCCUCCAGAGAGUUUGGAGGAGGGAGUGAUAAAUUAAUUCAGAGAGUACCCACUGAUUCUUAGGUCAUAAAACUUUUUCCAAUUUCCUUCCCACUGGUUUGCAUUGACCAUGGCUCAGCAUAGAUUUAAGGUAAAAGCAUACUGCCCUUAAGAUAUUGUUGGCCUUUAAUAGCUGA